UGGGCUGGGGCUCAGUGGCAGAGCGCUUGCCUCACACGUGUGAGGCCCAGGUUCAAUCCUUAGCAGCACAU
rnacentral:tRNA from 1 species